UACGUAGGGUGCAAGCGUUGUCCGGAUUUAUUGGGCGUGAAGAGCUCGUAGGCGGUCUGUCGCGUCGGAUGUGAAAACCCAGGGCUCAACCCUGGGCCUGCAUUCGAUACGGGCAGACUAGAGUAUGGCAGGGGAGACUGGAAUUCCUGGUGUAGCGGUGAAAUGCGCAGAUAUCAGGAGGAACACCGGUGGCGAAGGCGGGUCUCUGGGCCAAAACUGACGCUGAGGAGCGAAAGCGUGGGGAGCGAACAGG
rnacentral:rRNA from 1 species